rnacentral:ncRNA from 1 species
GAUAACAGGCUGAUCUUCCCCAAGAGUCCACAUCGACGGAAAUGUUUGGCACCUCGAUGUCGGCUCUUCGCCACUUGGAGCUGUAGGUGGUUAAAGGGUUGAGCUAUACACACAAUAGCAUGACUAGUUUACUCAACAAUAAUUAAACUG